rnacentral:rRNA from 1 species
AGUGAACGCUGGCGGUAGGCCUAACACAUGCAAGUCGAACGGCAGCACAGUAAGAGCUUGCUCUUACGGGUGGCGAGUGGCGGACGGGUGAGGAAUACAUCGGAAUCUACUUUUUCGUGGGGGAUAACGGAGGGAAACUUACGCUAAUACCGCAUACGACCUACGGGAGAAAUCAGGGGAUCUUCGGACCUUUCGCGAUUGAAUGAGCCGAUGUCGGAUUAGCUAGUUGGCGGGGUAAGGGCCCACCAAGGCGACGAUCCGUAGCUGGUCUGAGAGGAUGAUCAGCCACACUGGAACUGAGACACGGUCCAGACUCCUACGGGAGGCAGCAGUGGGGAAUAUUGGACAAUGGGCGCAAGCCUGAUCCAGCCAUACCGCGUGGGUGAAGAAGGCCUUCGGGUUGUAAAGCCCUUUUAUUGGGAAAGAAAAGCAGCAGGUUAAUACCCCGCUGUUCUGACGGUACCCAAAGAAUAAGCACCGGCUAACUUCGUG